rnacentral:lncRNA from 1 species
AUGCUUCCAGAAAAAUCUCCGUCUUCCAGCCAAACUAUGUCUUCCACCAAAUCAAGUCUUCCAGUCAAACCCCUGUCUUCCAGACAAAAUCUAUGUCUUCCACUAAAUCCAGCUCUUCCAAUAAAGCCACGUCUUCCAGAAAAUUCAUGUCUUCCAGUAAUCUCCAGGUCUUCCUACAGCUACCCAGCCUUCCAUCAGCAGGCUCAAUAUCCACGUCUUCCAACAUCUCCACUGCACCAGCCUUCUAAUAUCCAGGUCUUCCACUGUCUGCAAUAUCCAGCUCACACAGUGCCUUCAUUGCAUUUAUCCAUCCAUCCAUCCAUUGAACAAAUAUUUAUUGAGUGCCAACUGUGUGCCAGGCUUGUUUUAGUGGAGCUUAAUAUUGGCUGGAGAACAUACAUACAAUGUGCAAAUAAUUGAAUGCUUAUUCAUUAAUUGUGGUAAGGAAUUAAGGAAAAGUGAAUAUAGAACCUGUGAGAAUUUGGAAAGUCAAGGAAAGCAUUCUUGAGGAAGAAUGGUGACUCCGAAGGAUAUGGUUUCUCAUUUGGUUAUUAAAACAAGAUUGCGCAGGGGAUUUAGCUCAGCAGUUCCGCCACCUGCCUUGCAAGCACAAAGACCAGAGUUCAAUCCCCAGUAACAAAAAAAAAAAAAAAAAAAAAAAAAAAGAAGAAGCAUAAAACAAGCUUGUGACUUAGAUACUGCAGAUUUUUUUUCUGCCAGUUUUACCGAAUUAGAAUAAUGACAAUGAGUAUGGGAUCCAGGUGUUUGGACAUUUUUUUCUACUACUACAUUUUGUCUUAAAGCAUACUAAAGAUGUUUAAACUCUUUAAAGUAGCAUUUUUCACCUCAAGGAUUCUAUCCAAGGGAACUUCAAAAUGUUCAUAAUUUAUGUACAAAAACGUUCCUCACAUACUUAUUUGACAUAGCAAAAAGCAAAAAACCCUGAGGGUCGUGGAUUUAGCUCAGCGGUUCGGUGGCCUGCUUCGCAAGCACAAGGACCGGAGUU